UCAUCCGGGAAUACGUGAAACAGACAUGGAACCUCCAGGGUCAAGCCCUGGAGCAGGCAAUUAUCAGCCAGAAACCUCAGCUGGAGAAGCUGAUUGCCACCACAGCCCAUGAAAAAAUGCCCUGGUUCCAUGGAAAAAUCUCUCGGGAUGAAUCUGAGCAGAUUGUCCUGAUAGGAUCAAAGACAAAUGGGAAGUUUUUCCUCCCCAUUCCUGGACUCCUGGUGACCCUGGGAAGGGAUCAAGUGCCAUCCUCUGAGACACACGUGUUGGUCACAUAGACACCUAAAAUCAAAGCCAUCCCAUGGAAUUCUGCAUUUAGCCACUCGCCCCCAGGGUGAAUACUCCUCUUGGGCACUGAGGGACUUCAUGUAAAGAAAAUCUAUUCAGCCUCACUUUCUGCUUUUCACGACAAACAUGGGAUGUGUAACACUGUCUCUGGCUCGCCAUCCAAGCUAAAAAUGCCGCAGUGUGUUUGCUUGCAUUGGCCCUGAGAUCUCAAACUUUACUUCUCUUUUUACUUGGAGAGGAAUGUCCCUAGGGUGGAGAGUAAAGCGAAUUUGCUGGGAAAGGUUAGUGCAGGUGCUUGAUCCCAAGCACGCAUGCAGACACCAGCCUCAUAAUCUCGGGAAUGAGGUGUGGGCGUUCCCUGGUGGCCUAGUGGUUAAAGAUUCAGUGGUGUUAUUGCUGUGGCUCCGAUUCGAUCCCUGGUCUGGGAACUUCCACAUGUUGUGGGUG
rnacentral:lncRNA from 1 species